rnacentral:misc_RNA from 1 species
GGCUGAAAUUCCGUCCAGUGUGUGUGUGUGUUUCAGCUGCUAGAAGAAGCAGACGACAGAAGUGAAGUGACUUCAGAUCACCUGCGUAUUUUACUUAUUAGCAGUAGACUAAUGUUGUGUAAUGGCGCAUACCGCUGCUGUUUAACCAAUCUUUACAACUAUUGAAAAUGGCAAUAGGCGACCACAAUGUUCCUAUCAGUGAUAUGGAGCUCUGAGGUCGCCAUCUUGACGCAUUUUUAGACCCAGAAGGACCUCCGCUUAAUUGUAGGCAGAUUUGUAUGCAUUGAGUCAAAUCCCUGAGGCGUUCAAUCAACAUCUCUUCAAUGAACAUGGAAUUAACUUUCCUGGGAACUGCAUCAGCAUACCCAACCCCGACACGCAGCGUGUCUUGCACAGCUCUUCGUUACAAAGACUGGGUGUGGCUUUUUGACUGUGGUGAGGGAUCACAGAUUCAGCUGAUGAAAAGCAGUCUUAAGCCUGGUAAAGUUAGCAAAAUUUUCAUCUCACACCUUCAUGGGGAUCAUCUCUUUGGCCUUCCAGGACUCCUGUGCACUGUAAGCCAGAACAACCAACGAUCAGAGCCUGUGGAGAUUUAUGGCCCUCUUGGAUUGCGUGCAUAUCUUCAGACAACCCUUGGGGUAUCCCAUUCAGAGAUGGGCUUUACAUUUACUGUCCAUGAACUGGUUCCAGUAUCACAGCAGCUGCCACCAGAUAUUUGGGAAAUAGAAAAGACUGCCAACUCCUUGCCACAUCCAAAUGAAGUACCAGGAAAGAGAAUUGAAUGUAACGACAAUUUAGUCUGGAAUGUUUUCUCAGACAAGGGUUUUGUGGUGCAGGCAGUAUGGGUUAAACAUCGAGUCCCAAGCUUUGCUUAUGUUGUCAAGGAAAAUGAUCGUCCAGGCAAACUAGAUGCAAAUAAACUGAAAUCUCUGGGUGUACCUGCUGGGCCUCUUUAUGGCAAGCUUAAAGGUGGUGAAGUUGUACAUCUGGCGGAUGGCACUCAGAUCAAGCCAAAAGAUGUGAUGGGACCACCCCAGGCAGGCUAUAUUAUUGCCAUUGGUGGCGACUCCAGUGAUUCCUCAGAACUCCUAAAAAUAGCUUGUGGUUCCCAUGUCCUGAUACAUGAAGCCACUUUGGAAAAUGCUAUGGAGGAACUCUGUAUACAAAAAGGGCAUUCCACACCUAACAGCAUGAGGAAAAAGCAUUGAGAGCAGCACAUGAUGCCUAUUAUUUGCAGGAAUGGCAGGUUUGUUGGCAAAACAACUGGGAGUAAAGCAACUCAUUUUAACACACUUCAGUCAGCGCUACAAGCCCUUGUCAUGCAACACUGAGCCAGGAGAGGCCAGCGUGCGGAUACUGCUUCAGGAGGCUCAAGAAGCAUUUG